UACGGGGGGAGCAAGCGUUGUUCGGAUUUACUGGGCGUAAAGGGCGCGUAGGCGGCCACCGCAAGUCGACUGUGAAAUCUCCGGGCUUAACUCGGAAAGGUCAGCCGAUACUGCGGGGCUAGAGUGCAGAAGGGGCAACUGGAAUUCUCGGUGUAGCGGUGAAAUGCGUAGAGAUGUGGAGGAACACCGAUGGCGAAGGCAGCCCCCUGGGCCAAUACUGACGCUCAUGCACGAAAGCGUGGGGAGCAAACAGG
rnacentral:rRNA from 1 species